GACGAACGCUGGCGGUGUGCUUAACACAUGCAAGUCGAACGGUAAGGCCCUUUCGGGGGUACACGAGUGGCGAACGGGUGAGUAACACGUGAGUAACCUGCCCUCAUCUCUGGGAUAACAGUCGGAAACGGUUGCUAAUACUGGAUAUGAGCCUGCAAGGCAUCUUGUGGGUUGGAAAGAUUUUUUGGUUGGGGAUGGACUCGCGGCCUAUCAGCUUGUUGGUGAGGUAGUGGCUCACCAAGGCUUCGACGGGUAGCCGGCCUGAGAGGGCGACCGGCCACAUUGGGACUGAGAUACGGCCCAAACUCCUGCGGGAGGCAGCAGUGGGGAAUAUUGCACAAUGGACGGAAGUCUGAUGCAGCAACGCCGCGUGCGGGAUGACGGCCUUCGGGUUGUAAACCGCUUUCAAUUGUGACGAAGCUUUUUGUGACGGUAGCAGUAGAAGAAGCACCGGCUAACUACGUG
rnacentral:rRNA from 1 species